AUUCCAUUUUUAUGUACUACGAUCAGAUUUUCUUUUUCUUCAGCUUUAUUGAUUGUCUACAUAUUAAUCUGUUGAUGUUUUGUAACAUUUUACAGCUGUAGAAGAUCAUGUACCAAUGAAAAGAUUCUAAAAAUGAAAAUGAUUUAUUCAGUAACCUACCAACCGUUGGGAGAACGACGCGGUCGCCGGGGAACGUACAUGCUCCUUGCAAUCAGCGGUCGGAGUUGAACCCGUGUUGGUUGUGUAGUAAAGAAGCUGUGAAAACCACCGAUUCUCACAGAUAGGGUUAAAGCGUCAGUACGUGGGCAGCGGCGGAAUUAUCCGUUUUGUCUUUGUCGACCUGUUCAGUGGAAAUUCAGUGUCAUCGCACCACUCCACACUGGAAUGCUCCACACCUUCAUUCACGUGUUUGAUU